rnacentral:lncRNA from 1 species
GAAAAUGCCCACGCUUGUAUUUGAAAUUAUGCAAAAUUUCCAGAGUCCAAUAGUCAUGCAGUUAAAAAUCACUUUUGUUGUUGUUUGAACAAUGAAGAUGCCGUCAUUCAGGCAGUUACCUUAAAAUAUGGAUUGGCCUUGUACCCCUAUUUGCAGGUUCUGCUUAGCAGUGUUUUAAAAAGCCUGUUGCUCAAGAGAAAUUAAGGUUUUAGCAGCUUAGUAUCACAGUGAUUAUAAGAGAACCCUCUUGAAACUAUAUUGCAGUGAAGGAAUCAGGAACUUUCAUCAAUCUGAAGGAAGCUGAAUGGCUUAGAGGAUUGGUAAUUGGCUAUCGACGUGACCCGUUCAUGUCUUGCCCAGAUUGCAGUUAGCAGAGAGCUGUUGUUCCCUGACAGGGUGUUUGAUGGUUUCUAGGAAAUGACCAAGAAUUGUGUUUUUUCACACUUUGUUAAGUAAGCAUUACUUUCAUAUAUCUUUCUUUUCUCGACAAAAUGGAUCUUUUUUUUGUUCACCCCCUCCUCUGUAGGUCAGAUAACUUGCAUGUGUUUGGUACUGAAUGUGAGGUAAUAGAACCUGGUUCAAAGAAGGAAGUAUUGCUCUUGUCCUAAGUGGAUAAUAUUAUAUUUUAUUGUAUUAUACCUAAGUGAAGACUCUCAAACCUAUAAAAGUAUUUAUCUCUCCUUUCACUUCCACACAUAAUGCCUAUUGUUCAUGAAAAUAAUUUCUACUUCCUGAGUGUUAUUAUAAAAUAGUAUAUGAGUCAUAUUCUUGAAGAAAAAAAUCAUUAUAAUACUUCAAACUCUGAUGUUUUUUAUUGUUUAACCUUUAAUUUCACAAAUAUGAAAGUUAAAGUUUGGUAUAAGAUUUUUAAAAAAGAAAACAAAAGCUAAAAGACCUCAGACUAUGAGACUAAAGCCACUGUUGUUGAUACUGGAGAUUUACAUUUAAUUUGGGGUAAUUUUUAUCAGUAAGAAUGUUUAAUUGUUCCAAACUUUAAAAUUUAGGUUUCCAGUUGCAAGAUUCUUUAAUCCUUUUCCUUGUUCUAACUUUUCCCUUCUCUUCUUAAUGAACUAUUUCUGCAAAUCUGACAUUAAUUUUUAGUUCAUUUUGACCCAUUGCUUUGGGCUCAGAAAUUGUACCAACUGGACUUGAGC